GAUGAACGCUAGCUACAGGCUUAACACAUGCAAGUCGAGGGGAAACGACAUUGGAAGCUUGCUUCCGAUGGGCGUCGACCGGCGCACGGGUGAGUAACGCGUAUCCAACCUGCCCACCACUUGGGAAUAACCUUGCGAAAGUAAGACUAAUGCCCAAUGAGAUUGAGUGCAGACAUCUAAUCUCAAUUAAAGAUUUAUCGGUGAUGGAUGGGGAUGCGUCCGAUUAGCUUGUUGGCGGGGUAACGGCCCACCAAGGCAACGAUCAGUAGGGGUUCUGAGAGGAAGGUCCCCCCACAUUGGAACUGAGACACGGUCCAAACUCCUACGGGAGGCAGCAGUGAGGAAUAUUGGUCAAUGGGCGAGAGCCUGAACCAGCCAAGUAGCGUGCAGGACGACGGCCCUAUGGGUUGUAAACUGCUUUUAUAAGGGAAUAAAGUGAGUCUCGUGAGACUUUUUGCAUGUACCUUAUGAAUAAGGACCGGCUAAUUCCGUG
rnacentral:rRNA from 1 species